AUUGAACGCUGGCGGCAGGCCUAACACAUGCAAGUCGAGCGAGAAAGGUCUUCGGACUGAGUACAGCGGCGGACGGGUGAGUAAAGCGUAGGAAUCUACCUGGUAGUGGGGGAUAACUUGGGGAAACUCAAACUAAUACCGCAUACGCCCUACGGGGAAAGCGGGGACCUUCGGGCCUCGCGCUAUCAGAUGAGCCUGCGUAGGAUUAGCUAGUUGGUGAGGUAAAGGCUCACCAAGGCGACGAUCCUUAGCUGGUCUGAGAGGAUGAUCAGCCACACUGGGACUGAGACACGGACCAGACUCCUACGGGAGGCAGCAGUAAGGAAUAUUGGUCAAUGGAGGCAACUUCUGAACCAGCCAUGCCGCGUGCAGGAUGACGGCCCUAUGGGUUGUAAACUGCUUUUAUACAAGAGAAAACCCGAGUACGUGUACUCGGUUGAUAGUAUUGUAAGAAUAAGCAUCGGCUAACUUCGUGCCAGCAGCCGCGGUAAAGU
rnacentral:rRNA from 1 species